rnacentral:rRNA from 1 species
UAAAGUGGCGUACGGGUGAGUAACACGUGGAUCAUCUGCCUCUUAGUGGGGAAUAACUCUGGGAAACCGGAGCUAAUACCGCAUAAGCCUGGAAAGGGAAAGUCGCAAGACGCUGAGAGAGGAGUCCGCGGCCGAUUAGCUAGUUGGCAGGGUAAAAGCCUACCAAGGCAUUGAUCGGUAGCCGGCCUGAGAGGGCACACGGCCACACUGGCACUGAAACACGGGCCAG